GGCGGGACACGUGGUAUCCUGUCUGAAUAUGGGGGGACCAUCCUCCAAGGCUAAAUACUCCUGACUGACCGAUAGUGAACCAGUACCGUGAGGGAAAGGCGAAAAGAACCCCGGCGAGGGGAGUGAAAAAGAACCUGAAACCGUGUACGUACAAGCAGUGGGAGCACGCUUAGGCGUGUGACUGCGUACCUUUUGUAUAAUGGGUCAGCGACUUAUAUUCUGUAGCAAGGUUAACCGAAUAGGGGAGCCGAAGGGAAACCGAGUCUUAACUGGGCGUUAAGUUGCAGGGUAUAGACCCGAAACCCGGUGAUCUAGCCAUGGGCAGGUUGAAGGUUGGGUAACACUAACUGGAGGACCGAACCGACUAAUGUUGAAAAAUUAGCGGAUGACUUGUGGCUGGGGGUGAAAGGCCAAUCAAACCGGGAGAUAGCUGGUUCUCCCCGAAAGCUAUUUAGGUAGCGCCUCGUGAAUUCAUCUCCGGGGGUAGAGCACUGUUUCGGCAAGGGGGUCAUCCCGACUUACCAACCCGAUGCAAACUGCGAAUACCGGAGAAUGUUAUCACGGGAGACACACGGCGGGUGCUAACGUCCGUCGUGAAGAGGGAAACAACCCAGACCGCCAGCUAAGGUCCCAAAGUCAUGGUUAAGUGGGAAACGAUGUGGGAAGGCCCAGACAGCCAGGAUGUUGGCUUAGAAGCAGCCAUCAUUUAAAGAAAGCGUAAUAGCUCACUGGUCGAGUCGGCCUGCGCGGAAGAUGUAACGGGGCUAAACCAUGCACCGAAGCUGCGGCAGCGACGCUUAUGCGUUGUUGGGUAGGGGAGCGUUCUGUAAGCCUGUGAAGGUGUACUGUGAGGUAUGCUGGAGGUAUCAGAAGUGCGAAUGCUGACAUAAGUAACGAUAAAGCGGGUGAAAAGCCCGCUCGCCGGAAGACCAAGGGUUCCUGUCCAACGUUAAUCGGGGCAGGGUGAGUCGACCCCUAAGGCGAGGCCGAAAGGCGUAGUCGAUGGGAAACAGGUUAAUAUUCCUGUACUUGGUGUUACUGCGAAGGGGGGACGGAGAAGGCUAUGUUGGCCGGGCGACGGUUGUCCCGGUUUAAGCGUGUAGGCUGGUUUUCCAGGCAAAUCCGGAAAAUCAAGGCUGAGGCGUGAUGACGAGGCACUACGGUGCUGAAGCAACAAAUGCCCUGCUUCCAGGAAAAGCCUCUAAGCAUCAGGUAACAUCAAAUCGUACCCCAAACCGACACAGGUGGUCAGGUAGAGAAUACCAAGGCGCUUGAGAGAACUCGGGUGAAGGAACUAGGCAAAAUGGUGCCGUAACUUCGGGAGAAGGCACGCUGAUAUGUAGGUGAAGUCCCUCGCGGAUGGAGCUGAAAUCAGUCGAAGAUACCAGCUGGCUGCAACUGUUUAUUAAAAACACAGCACUGUGCAAACACGAAAGUGGACGUAUACGGUGUGACGCCUGCCCGGUGCCGGAAGGUUAAUUGAUGGGGUUAGCGCAAGCGAAGCUCUUGAUCGAAGCCCCGGUAAACGGCGGCCGUAACUAUAACGGUCCUAAGGUAGCGAAAUUCCUUGUCGGGUAAGUUCCGACCUGCACGAAUGGCGUAAUGAUGGCCAGGCUGUCUCCACCCGAGACUCAGUGAAAUUGAACUCGCUGUGAAGAUGCAGUGUACCCGCGGCAAGACGGAAAGACCCCGUGAACCUUUACUAUAGCUUGACACUGAACAUUGAGCCUUGAUGUGUAGGAUAGGUGGGAGGCUUUGAAGUGUGGACGCCAGUCUGCAUGGAGCCGACCUUGAAAUACCACCCUUUAAUGUUUGAUGUUCUAACGUGGACCCGUAAUCCGGGUUGCGGACAGUGUCUGGUGGGUAGUUUGACUGGGGCGGUCUCCUCCUAAAGAGUAACGGAGGAGCACGAAGGUUGGCUAAUCCUGGUCGGACAUCAGGAGGUUAGUGCAAUGGCAUAAGCCAGCUUGACUGCGAGCGUGACGGCGCGAGCAGGUGCGAAAGCAGGUCAUAGUGAUCCGGUGGUUCUGAAUGGAAGGGCCAUCGCUCAACGGAUAAAAGGUACUCCGGGGAUAACAGGCUGAUACCGCCCAAGAGUUCAUAUCGACGGCGGUGUUUGGCACCUCGAUGUCGGCUCAUCACAUCCUGGGGCUGAAGUAGGUCCCAAGGGUAUGGCUGUUCGCCAUUUAAAGUGGUACGCGAGCUGGGUUUAGAACGUCGUGAGACAGUUCGGUCCCUA
rnacentral:rRNA from 1 species